CUUCCCUGGCUUCCGAAAAUUCGCCUUCCUCCAUACCUUCCCCGACGAACCUGCGAAUUAUUUAAUCGCAGCGUAUUAAUCUUUAGGUUGACACGCUGUAACCAUAGCAGCUUAAUCGAACAUCAAACUGCAUGCCUGCAUGUGGCACGACCGUGCAAUUCACCGAAGAGAUGAUUUCACGUGAGCAAGAAAAAUCGGAUUUAUCGUUCAUCGGCAAACUGCCGGGGUUGAAUAUGGCUCCUCAUGGCGCCAUUAUUUCUCUUUCUCUGAAAAUAUUGCCGAUCUCUUUCCAGCUGAUGAAAUAUCGCUAACAACCCUUAUCUUAAUCUGAAUAUUUAGACUAUAAUAUAGUAUUAAAACACUUGGAUAGUCUAAACAAAUGUCCAUAACAUUAGAAGCUUUAUAAAAAAAAUCGCAAGUGGACAAUGACUGAGUUAUAUUCAGUCAUGUACAUUUGUUAUCUUACGUGUCCAUUUUAUUGUCCAUUUGAAUGACGAAAUCAGAAGAUCUAAAUUAUACAAUAAAUUAUAACGCUUGUUAUAAUCAGAGUGGAGGAGGGAGAGAAUAACUAAAAUUUUGCGAUAUGUAUUCGUGAAGUAGAUCGAUGGUUCGCAAUUCGCUUUGCGUGUAGCUUUGAUAACAUGCAAGGUAUCUUCGAGGCGUCACGCAUGAUUUUUAAACUACCAACAAAAGAUUAACGUAAACUUUGUAUAUGUUAUACUGUAAUAAAUAAAAGGUAAUUUUGAUAUA